AACGAACGCUGGCGGCAUGCCUAACACAUGCAAGUCGAACGACACCUUCGGGACUAGUUGCGCACGGGUGCGUAACGCGUGGGAACCUGGCCGUAUGUUCGGAAUUACUCCCCGAAAGGGGUGCUAACACCGGAAAACGUCCUCGGACCCAAGAUUUAUCGCCUUUGGAUGGGCCCGCGAUGGUUUAGCUUGGUGCUAGGGUAAGAGCCUACCAAGGCGACGAUCCAUAGCUGGUCUGAGAGGAUGAGCCGCCACACUGGGGCUGGGACACGGCCCAGACUCCUACGCGAGGCAGCAGUGGGGAAUACUGGCCUAUGGGCUAAAGCCUGAACCAGCACUGCCGGGUGAGUGAUGAAGGCCUUAGGGUUGUACAGCAGGUUUACCCGGCAUGGUAAUGACAGUACCCGGAGAAUAAGCUCCGGCUAACUCCGUG
rnacentral:rRNA from 1 species